CCAGUGAGCAAGGCUGAGAACUUGUCCCAGGUUACGAGACUCCCAGGGGUGAGACAAAAUGUGCCAUGAGUGAUGGCCUUUGGUGAUCUGAAGGAGAGUUGAGCCCAGCUUUUCAAUUCAUACAGAUCCUUUCUCUGAAGAACCCCUUCCUGAUAUUGUCACUUUAACACAUCUCUGUGGUUUUAUUUUGAAAUUUUUAAAGGUACAGUCAUGUGCCGCAUAAUGACAUUCAGUCAAUGACAGACUGCAUAUAUGAGGUGGUCCUGUAAGGUGAUAAUGGAGCUGAAAAAUUCCUACUACUGAACGACAUCAUAGCCAUUGUAACAUCAUAGCACAACCAAUCACCUUUUCUAUAUUUAGGUAUGUUUAUUUAGAACUGUAUUAGUCCAUUUUCGUGAUGCUGAUAAAGAUAAAACCAAGACUGGGAAGUAUCAAUUGAUUUUUUACAAAGGAGCAAAGGCAAUACAAUGGAGAAGACAGUCUUUUAACAAAGGUGCUGGAAUAACUGGACAGCCAUGCACACACACAGAAAAGAAUCGAGACACAGACUUUACAUCUUCACAAAGGUACAACACUGAAGGCACCGCCCAUGAAAGAAACAACUGAUAGGCUGAACUCCAUUAAAAUUAAAAGCUUUUGCUCUGCAAAUACAAGAGAAUGAGAACACAAACGGUGAUGCUGAAGUUACAAGUCUGAACCACACGUAGACUAUCAUAGCAUCAAACAACUUCUUCCUUUCGGAUUUACAUCAACUAAACAGAAGGCCUAACCAUGGUGCACGUACUGGAGAUACAAAGAGGAACAAACUCCAAUUCAGGAGGGAGGAGGGUAUGAUAGGAGGAACCCCUAAGAGACUGAAAUAGCAAGUGGAAACCACUCUUCUAUUCUUUGCAAGAUGGCUACAGAAGUUCUGGAAAUAUACCAGACGUGGCAAUGCUGCAGAGGAAGGAGGGAGAAUAUGCCUUUCUGCAGAUCUUUCGAUAAGGAGUUCAUAUGCUGGAAUGAUAGUGACACAGGAGUUUAACACUCCUACAG
rnacentral:lncRNA from 10 species